rnacentral:rRNA from 1 species
AUUCACGUGUAGCAGUGAAAUGCGUAGAGAUGUGGAGGAAUACCGAUGGCGAAGGCAGCCCCCUGGGCCAAUACUGACGCUCAUGCACGAAAGCGUGGGGAGCAAACAGGAUUAGAUACCCUGGUAGUCCACGCCCUAAACGAUGUCAACUAGUUGUCGGGUCUUCAUUGACUUGGUAACGUAGCUAACGCGUGAAGUUGACCGCCUGGGGAGUACGGUCGCAAGAUUAAAACUCAAAGGAAUUGACGGGGACCCGCACAAGCGGUGGAUGAUGUGGAUUAGUUCGAUGCAACGCGAAAAACCUUACCUACCCUUGACAUGUAUGGAAUCCUGCUGAGAGGUGGGAGUGCCCGAAAGGGAGCCAUAACACAGGUGCUGCAUGGCUGUCGUCAGCU